rnacentral:rRNA from 1 species
CACGUAGGAGCCAAGCGUUAUCCGAAUUCACUGGGCGUAAAGCGCGUGCAGGCGGCUCGGUAAGUUGGAUGUGAAAGCUCCUGGCUCAACUGGGAGAGGACGUUCAAUACUGUCGGGCUAGAGGACUGCAGAGGGAGGUGGAAUUCCCGGUGUAGUGGUGAAAUGCGUAGAUAUCGGGAGGAACACCAGUGGCGAAGGCGGCCUUCUGGGCCGUACCUGACGCUCAGACGCGAAAGCUAGGGGAGCGAACGGG